GGUGAGAUGGCCGAGUGGUUAUGGCGCUGCGUUCAGGCGAACCCUGGAUCUUUAGAUAUUGAGGAGCUAUUCUCAUUAUCUUCACAAAAACAAUAUCGCAGUGGAGCAAUCCGCGUGGGUUCGAGUCCCACUCUCAUCA